rfam:Agrobacterium sp. DSM 25559 isolate DSM25559 genome assembly, contig: DSM25559_contig6
GCAGCGGACCGGGCCCCUCUGACCAGAUUAUUUCAUCUGGUGAUGUCGGACCGCAUCG